GCCAGGCAUGGUGGUGCAUGCCUGUAAUCCCAGCUACUCAGGAGGCUAAAGCAAGAGGAUUGCAAGUUUAAGGUCAGACUGGGCAAUUAAGCAAGCCAUUAGAAACUUAGCAAGUCUCUAUUUUGA
rnacentral:sRNA from 1 species